ACACUUCUCUAUUAUGCCAUUCCAGACUCUGUCUAUGAAACAAAGUCAAGUAGCAGAGUCUGGUAUUACCAGGCUAAGGAUGACAUAAUAGACACAGUUCAUUUGCCUGGAUAAAGCAAUAAACUAAACUUUUUUUUGAGUCCAUUAUAUAAUAAGUUUAUUGUGGAUUUUAGAUUAUCAAGGAACAGUGCAGACUAAUGUAUUUUUAAAUAUGUUGGUUUAAUUUCCAAUCAUGUUGUUUCUGACAGCACUUGAGAAAUAUUGCUGUUAUUAUAUAAUAAUAUAAUCCCUCACUGGUGUUGUCUUUUCUUAAAUAAUAUCUCUUUCUCUUGUUUGUUCCCUAUGUUAUACAUCCAGCAAGGCAAAGUGCCGUGUCUUAUGGAGCUAAACUCUGAUGUUUAACAAAGCACCGUAAUGAGUGGGAAAGUCUGGAUAUUGAUCACUGCAGUUUCAUUAAUCACCCAUGUUUACCAUGUCCAGUCCAAGUGUAUGGACCGAGACAUCAAGGCACAUCUGGAUGAGUGGUUGUUGAAAGAGCACGUGUUUCUGAUGAAGGUGUUCUCGCCUGAAAUGAAGGAACAUGCGCUUCUAUCAGUGAUAAAUACCCUGUGUUUCAUACUGGAUAAAUAAUAA